UGACAAUCGUCAUCAUCAUCACCGGCGCCGACACAUUAUCAACUUCGCCACCUUCGCCGCCUUCGCACAAUUAAAGUAUUUUGAUUUAAUCUGAAUUUUUUUUUUAAUAUACCUUUAUACUGUUUUAAUCAAAUAUAAAUGAUAUAUUUUUUUAGUAAUAUUUUUUUUUUCAUUUUUGCUAUUAUUUUUCUUAAAUAUUCUCAAAUAUUUUUAAAAUAAUAUCAGUUUUUAUUUAUCUCCGUCGUCGACACCGGUUCAUCAUCACAUCACUAGCGCCGUCACAUUAUCACCUUUGCCAUAGUUAGAGAGGUCUUUUGAUUUCAUCUGUUUUUUUUUUUUGUAAUGUGCCUUUACUCUGUUUUAGAUUUUUUUUUUUAGUAUUUUUUUAUUUUUAUCUAUAUGUUUUUCAAAUAUAAAACAUAUAAUUUUUUUAGUAAUAUUUUUUUUAUUUUUACCUAUAUUUUUCUUAAAUAUUCUCAAAUAUUUUUUUAGUAAUAUUAAUUCUCAUUUGUCCCCAUUGUCGGUACCGGCGUCAUCAUUUUCCUCAUCGUUAUUGUCGUCAUCGAUGCUGAUACAUUAUCGCCUUCCCCACCUUCUAUACUACGUACUACUACUAUACUAUUUCAGUUUUUUUAGAUGUUGUAGGAAUGGUUGUCCAAAUCAAUUACUCUUUAUUUAUAUGGUAUUAAUCGUCCUAAACGUAAAGGUAAAAUAUUUCUCUUUUUAUCAUUUCACAUGAAUAAAGUUAUUAAUAACUAAUUAUUUGGAUGGAUUGAAGUAUGAAUCGAAUUAGAUUAAUCCUCUAGGAGAAGAUAAUGCUAACACACAUUGGCAUGAAAAAAUUAUUAAUAAUUAAUUAUUUGGAUGAAUUGAAGUAUGAAUCGAAUUAGAUUAAUACUUUAGGACAAGAUAGUGCUAUAACACACAUUGGCAUUUGGAGAGACACUAUUGUAAACAAUUCAGUUGUUGUAUAAAAACAGUACACGUUAAUAUGGAUAAUUAGGAUAAAUGUACUUUUUAAUAUUUUAUUUUUUUUGUGGUAUUUUAAAUUUAUUUAUUAGGAUCAAUUUAUUAGCAAAGUUUUAUGAGUAAAAUUGUGCUUAAUCCACCUAUUCCAAAAACUCAAGAAAUAAAAUUAAGCUAAAUUUUUUACGUAUAUGAAUUUUUAUUAAAUUUAUAUUUUUUUUAAUUUUAUCUAUUCUGAUGAUUUACUAAUAUUUAUUUUAUUAUUUUUCUUACUUACAAUGCAAUUUGUACGGAAUGGAGACUGAUGGUGACAUUUUCAGUUAGUUUAGUGAUGAAUUUUGUAUUUUUUUUUCAAUGAUACCAUGAUAGAUUUUGUGUUCUUACUUUUAUGAUAUUGUAAUUCUAUUUCCUAUUUCUGGUAUUUUAUUUUGGUAAUGAUUAAAUACUAUUUAUCGAAUCUAUAAUAUUUAUUUAUAAAUUUUUUUUUUUAGUAUUGUGUGACGUGCAUUGCACGUGCACUUAACUAGUAUAUAUAUAUAUUCGAGCUUUUCGAGCCUAAUUCAAGAGAAUCCAGUAAUAGUCAAGCCCUGCUUAAAAUAAAUUAUGAGUUUUUUUUUUUAUCUUUUCGAGCCUAAUUCAAGAGAAUCCAAUAAUAGUCAAGCCCUGCUUAAAAUAAAUUAUGAGUUUUUUUGUUUUAUUCAAGUUUGGCUCAUUUAAUUUCAAGUCAAGCUCGAGUGAGCCGAAUAUCGAGUCGAGUCGAAUGCGAAUUGAACAUGAGCUGGCUCGCUCAUUUGCUAGGCCUACAAAAGGGGAGAUAGAGAGGGUAGGGUAGAGAGAGAUAGGGAAAGGGAUAGAGAAAGCGCGAGAGAAAGGGAGAGGAAAUAAAGGAGAGGGACGAAUCUGGAGGGGAAGGGUCGAUCGUGACUGUUUAAACGCGUAGCGAGGGGGAGGAGAGAAGGGUAGAGAGAGGGAAGGGAUAGAGAGACGCAGGAGGGAUGAAGGAGAAGAGGGAGAUACAUCUGGGGAGGGUUAGCAAUCGUAAGAGCGGGAGAUAGAUAGAGGGGAGGGAAGAGAAAGAGAGAG
rnacentral:lncRNA from 1 species